rnacentral:lncRNA from 1 species
GGCAGAGCUCUUUCAGUCUGGUGUGGUUAACUAGCAGUACAUCUCUGUUCUCUCACAUUUGGGAGCUUGUCUUCAGGUCUUCAUUGACUAGUUCAGUUUCAGGGCAUGUCCCUUGUUCUUUUCUCUUUUCUCGGAACAUGCUAUCCGGAAUAGCCCAUUGGUGUUGAUUUUACAACCCUGUUCUGAACGAUCAACUGUGAACCAAUUUAUUCAGAAUAAUUUUGCUCUGUGCUCUUGUAGCGGUAUUCACUGCGCAUUUCUCUGAAGUCUGAGAUGAAGUGCUGUAAUCAUGUUCGUCAACGCGGACCCUUCUUGUACCAGCAUCGGCUGGUGUUUUGAGCCCAGUGGCCGCGCUUGGUAUCGUUGUAAUUAAAUAUGGGGUGUUUAUUUUACACUUUUUUCUUUUCUUUUGGGGAAUUUUACACUUUUAUAUUACCGGCUGCUUAGCAAUUUUCGGCCGGAAACAAAACGAUGAGUCGAGACCUGUAUACUAGGUCAAAAAUGUUAUUAUAUUAUGAAACGGAUGAAGUUUGUAUUUAAAGGAACAUGGCAAUCCAAUCAGGGCUAACAUGCUGUGAUACAGUUUCUACACUAGAUAAACAUCAUUAAGCUUAGGGCAUGUAUAGUUGUUGAUAAGACAGUCUUAUCUUAAUUCAGCCAUGUAAUCUUAAUCCAGACACGUAAUCUGGAGAUGACAGAACAAUAUGGUGUACAAUGGGCUCUUUCUUAAUUUUAUCUAGCACUAACUAGUUAUUCCUAAAAAAGUGAUGAGGAUUUGUUGCUAAGAGAUAAUCUCUUAAAUAAAAGAAGAAAAACUUUUUUUCUGGUUUCUCUUGCCUUCAUCUCAACAUUUAUCCUACGCAUGCCUUUACCGUUAGAUAACCAGCAGGGACGUACUGUAUCUCCGCGGGCCCUGCGUGCCACACGAGCUGCAAGGCGUGUCUGGCUCUGCAGCCUGAGUUGGAACCUCGCGCUACACUUGUCCUAGUUUCAGACCAAGCAGCUGCCACGCGCAGGCCGUAGAAACAGCGGUCGCCGCCACCAGACGCCGGACACGCACGCAUUUAUAGAUACGCGAAGGCGCCGGCCAGUGAGAGAAAGAAAAGGAACACAUGGAGGGCGAGGGGAGCAGAUCGAAGACGGUGUGCGUGACCGGCGCCGGCGGCUUCGUCGGCUCGUGGCUCGUGAAGCGGCUCCUGUCCACGGGCGAGUACACGGUGCAUGGCACCGUUCGCGACCUCGGUAAGACAAGAUCGACGCCACCUUUCUUUGAGUUGUCCCGUGCAAAGGACCGACCCGACGGCCGCAAGUGCGUUCGUGCACGCAGGUGAUCGCAAGACCGGCCACCUGAGGGCGCUGGACGGCGCCGGGGAGCGGCUGCGGCUGUUCAAGGCCGACGUGCUGGACUACGCCAGCGUGGCGUACGCCGUGUCCGGCUGCGGCGGCGUCUUCCACGUCGCCAGCCCCGUCCCCGCCGACAAACCCCAGAACCCAGAGGUAAGUACCAUUUUUCAUCAGGAAACUGAGUAUUGAUCUAUUAUCAAGUUUUCUGUUCUGUUCUGGUGACCUCUCCUGUGCUCAGGUGGAGGUCCUGGCUCCGGCGGUGAGGGGCACGCAGAACGUGCUCAAGGCCUGCCACCAAGCUAAGGUCGGCCGUGUCGUGGUAGUGUCGUCGGCCGCCGCGGUGGCCAUGAACCCCAGCUUCCCCAGGGACGCCGUCCUGGACGAGGACGCGUGGUCAGACGAGGACUACUGCAGAACCACCGGGGUGGCACUCACUUCUCCGUUUCCAAACCAAAAUUAUGUACAGUGGUAAUAACCAACCUACGUGCGUGCCACUCAUGUUCUGUCCGAUCUUCACCUUGGCAGAUGUGGUACGCCCUCUCCAAGACACUGGCCGAACGCGAGGCUCUGGCUCACACGGAGCAGACCGGCCUGGACGUGGUCACCGUGUGCCCGCCCUUGGUCCUCGGCCCGCUGCUGCAGAGCGUGGCCAACACCAGCAGCUUGGUCCUCAUCAACCUGCUCAAAGGCAAGCCUUUCUUCCAGAGGCAACAAGCAAUCGUGGAUCAAUUCACGCGUACAUAUAUGUCUUGCUUUGUUGCGUGCGCAGGCGACCCCGACACCGUGGAGGACAAGGCGAGGAACGCGGUGGACGUCCGGGACCUCGCCGACGCGCUCGUGCUGGCGUACGAGAGCCCGGAGGCGUCUGGGCGGUACAUCUGCGGCGCAUAUCGAAAGAAGCUCUCUGAAAUGGCCGGCAUCGUCAAGAGCUUCUAUCCAGAUCUUAACCAGCCAAAGAUGUAAGAACGUACAGUAGUACAUAACUGUAUAUACGACCAGCUUGCAGUUGCGAUUUUGCGUGACUACCAGGAGGUUGUUUGCAGAUUCGUUGAAGCAGAAGACGAGGACAAGAUGGUGAGCUCCAGGAAGCUGCAGGCGCUGGGGUGGAAGUUCAGGGCGGUGGAGGAGUGCCUCAGGGACAGCGUGGAGUCCUACAGGGCCGCUGGGCUGCUGGAGUGAGCGGCCGAGAUCUUCUUAUAGAGAAGAAGCGUGGCAGUGGUAAACUGAAGGACGGUGUGUUACAUUCCGCCUGUGGAAUCCAAUGUGGUGCUCAAACUUCGAAAUUCAGCAUAAAACGAGCUAGAAGGCAGCGUAGCAAAUUAAGAAAAAAAGAAAAAAAAAUGUGUGUCAAGAGUGGGAUUUGAACCCACGCCCUUUCGGACCAGUACCUGAAACUGGCGCCUUAGACCAACUCGGCCAUCUUGACUUUGCGUUCAUCGUCUUUGCCAGUACCAUUUUAACUAGAAUCUCUUCUCGUCGCUACCUCUUGGGCCAUCAUCCCGAGAGAGAACUUUUUCUUUUGAAACCGAGCCAAAAGAUUUGCCUCAUAUAUUAAUUAAGUAGAGAAAAGGUUUUGUUAUAAUAGGCACCCUUACACGGCAUGAGUGAUUACUCGCGCAAAAUUAUGGCCCCUAAUUUCUUUGCCCCGGCGGUGACCCAAAGCUUUGCCUCAUUGGCAAUGGAAGCUAGUAAAAUAGGCGGUGGAGCACAUUUAUGCCGGAAGACCCGUGCAUUCCUUUCGUUCCAGACGAUCCACGACACGAGCAUAGUCAUCGAGGCCAUCGCCUUUCUGUCGGGUACUUCUGUGCCGGUCAAAUUUUCCCACCAACUCUUGACUGAAGCCUCCAAAUGCCAUGAAGAGGUGUCCAAAUGCGUAAGCUGAAAUUUUUCAAUGACCAUCUUCCAAAGGCGGAUGGUGUAACGACACUUGAAAAAAGAUGAGGACCGCUCUCUUGCUCCCUUUUGCAAAGAGGGCAAAGACCACAGUUCGGCCAACCCUGCUUGGCAAGCCUAUCCGCCGUCCAGAUUCUUUCUUGGGUUGCCAACCAAGCGAAGAACUUUGUCUUUCAAGGCGCCCAAGCCUUCCAAAUCAUGUGCUCCAUGGAAAAGAGAACUAGCCCAAGGAAUUGCGCUUGAUAUGCGGAGGCGGCAGUGUAGCACCCAUCUGCCGUGUGCUUCCAUAUAAUGGAAUCCUCGGAAAGCUCAUCAAGAUGAAAGUUGUGCAAGAGCAUCCAAAGGGUGAAGAAUUGCCGGAUGUGCUCGAUGGAGACGGUCGUGGAGGGGUUGAUCUUGAGAAUCCAAUCAUUGUUUUUGAGGGCCUCGCGCACCUUCCAAUUUUUCCUCAUGGAGGCCUCGAAAAUUAAGGGAGCAACAUCUUUUGGUUUGGCUCCCUGUAGCCAAGGGGAUUCUCAGAAGGGCGUUUUGACCCCAUUCCCCCAGAAAUGGUGGUUGAGGCAUAGAAGAAAGACAUGUCCGCCUCGUCACAAGGGUUGCCCAAACCGACCCACAUCUUAUUUGGCUCCGUCCAUUCAAACCAAGGCCAUCUCAGUCGCAAGGCGCGAGCAAACUUGGCGGUGUUAAGGACUCCAAGGCCACCGUACUCCGAUGGGCGGCAGACAAUAUUCCAAUUAACCUUGCACUUUGCUCCCGUGGUCUUAUCCGACCCGGACCACAGGAAAGCACGCUCCAGCUUGUUCACAUUUUGCAAGAUUGACGGAGGGACAAUCAAGGAGGUGAUGAAGUAGACCGCAAGUGAGGAGAUGACCGAUUUUACUAAUGUCGUGCGCCCAAUGGUAGUAAUGUUCUGCUCCUCAUACGUAACCAAUUUGCUCGUCACCUUGUCUUCAAGAAAUUGGAAAUCUGCCUUUUUUAGCUGCCAGACAGAUAACGGGAGGCCUAAGUACCGUAGAGGGAAGGAAGCCAUAGUGGCCGGCAUGCUUUGCAGAAUGUGUCCCAAGUUAAGGUUAUUGCACCGGAUAGGCACAACUGAGCUCUUGUGAAAGUUGGUGCAUAGCCCGGUGACCUCCCCAAAACCACGUAAAAUUGCCGAGAAGAUGUCAAUGUCUUUUUUUAUAGGGGCCAUGAACACCGCGGCAUCAUCCGCAUAAAGCGAGGUACGCACCAUGACACCUCUUCCACGGAUCCAGUGGAGCAAUUUCUUGCGGGUAGCCAAGUCAAGGAGCCGUUGUAGCGGAUCAAUGGCGAUGAUGAAUAGCAACGGUGAAAUUGGGUCCCCCUGGCGAAGGCCCUGACCGUGAAUGAUUGGCGGGCCGGGCACACCAUUUAGGAUGAUCCUCGAGGAAGAGGAGCAAAGAAGCGCCGCAAUCCAGUUACGAAAUUUGCAUGGGAACCCACGGCGUCGGAGGAGGUCCAGCACAUACUCCCAUCUGACCGAAUCAAAUGCCUUUUGGAUGUCAAGUUUGAACAGGAGCGACGGAGUCUUGCACUUAUGGAGCCGGCGGCAAAGUUGCGCACGCACAUGAAGUUAUCGUGUAUGCUUCUCGUCUUGAUGAAGGCGCUUUGGGCGUUGGAGACAAGUUUGUUCAUGUGCGGAGCAAGGCGGAGGGAUAGCACCUUCGCGAGGAUUUUGGCGAUAGCAUGGAUAAGGCUAAUGGGUCUAUAAUCGUCAAUACCCUCAGCUCCCUCCUUCUUGGGUAGAAGCACGACGUUGGCAGAGUUGAGCCAGUGUAGAUCGAACGUGUGUAAGGAGUCAAACUUGAGAAUCACCCUCAUCACAUCAUGCUUGAUUAUGCCCCAGCACUUCUUGAAGAAAAUGCCCCCGAGAGAACUGGGGGACUACAGAAACGGGUGUAAACCCAUGAAAGAUGUCGGUUGUGUAAUGUACUCAGCAACAGCCUCACGGCAAGGGGAUGAAAAGAUGCCCGUCUCCUAAUAGGGUAAAAAGAAACCGUAGGGACACGUGCCGGGGCGUUGCCAUCUUGAUCCCGCACGCGUCCCCAAACCCGUAAUCCGGCAAUACCAAAAUAAGUUCCGUUAUUUGUAAACCAUGAAUUCUGUUCAGGGACGCGUGCCGGGGCCGUUGCCAUCUUGAUCUGGCACGUGUCCCCGAACCCAAAAUCAGGUAAUACCAAAAUAAGUUUUGUUAUUUGUGAACCAUGAAUUCUGUUUUAGAACUUGUGUAAUUGGAUAUCUUGUUGCUCCUGCUUGUUGCUCAAAUGGGGUAUUGUAUUGUGCUGAAAAAUGCUCCUUGUAGCUGUUGUCAUUGCUCUUUUCUCAAGUUAUGUUGCUGAAAUAUGCUUCUUGUAGCUGCUAAACCAUGUACAAUUGUAUUGUGCUGAAAUAUGCUUCUUGUAGCUGCUAAAUCAUGUACAAUUGUAUUGUGCUGAAAUAUGCUUCUUGUACCUGCUAAACCAUUGUAUUGUGCUGAAAUUUGCUCAAGUUAUGCUGCUGAAAUUUGCUUUUUUGCUGCUAAAAUGCUAUUCUUUAGUUCUACAAUGUUUGCUUAAAUAUGCCAUUUUUCCGUGGGUUUAGUGUUAGAUGUGUAUAGUCCCCUUUCUGUAUAUCCUCAUUGUAUAAGGGAUUUCCUACAUUUUACUAUACAUGUAUAUGUAUUGGCCUUCGGCUCUCAGUGAAUACUAGUUGCUCAUUAUCUAACAUGGUAUCAGUUGCCAGGUUAGCCUCUCUCUCACACGAUGCAACUUCGUGCGCACUCCAUCCCAGUCACCGCCGCUGCUGCUAGGUCCGCUUCCUCCUAGGUCGCCGUCUCUCUCUCUAGCCGCCUCCAGCUCGGAUCCGCCUGUUGUCGCCCUUCCUCUGUUCGUUGCCGCUUGGAUCCGCUGCCACUGCAUGGACGUCGUCCCACUCCGGCCCGGCUCGUCGUUCCCGCCUGGGCGACGCCCGGCCCGGCUUCGCUGUUCCCACCUGGACCUCGCCCUGGGCGCCCUCGCCUGGAAGCUGCUCCCACUUGGACCAUGCCCCCGCCUGGACGUUGCCCCCUCCUGGCCGCUGCCCCUGCUCGGCCUGCCUCUACCGCUCCUUGUCCAAACUGGCUCCCCCGAGCGCAAGAGGUCGUUGCCGCUCCUCAUCCAGGCUGUCGGAUAUCGGGUUCCGGCAAAACCCUUAAGGUUCGAACUCUGGGGUGCACACGGAGAUCUUCUCCCUACCGAUCCACGCCCACUACUUCGCUGCGGUUCUAAACUAACAAGAUGAACAACACAAGGGACACGGGAUUUAUACUGGUUCAGGCCACCAUUGUGGUGUAAUACCCUACUCCAGUGUGUGGUGUGUGGAUUGCCUCUUGGGCUGAUGAGGAACAGUACAAGGGGAAGAACAACCUCGCGAGGAGAGGUGUUCUUGUGGCGGUGCCGUUGGUUCUGGUCCGAAUGGAUCCCCCUCUAUGGUGGUGGCUAGUCCUAUUUAUAGAGGCAUUGGUCCUCUUCCCAAAUAUUGAGCGGGAAGGGAUUCCACAAUGGCGGGAUUUGAAGGGGGCAACUAGUACAAGCUAUCCUAUCUAAAGGUGGUCUUCAACUGCCAAAAGCACUAACGAUGACACCGUCUUGGGCUCCACGGUGACCUCCAUCUUGCCGUCCCGCUGGUCUUGGUCUUGUUGCACCGAUAUGGAAACCUUUGCUUGAUGCCUCGGUACUCCGUGCCUGUGCUUGCCCCCUUUGCACCAAAGAGGAAACAAGGACACUGCGCCGGACGACGCCCGCCUGGUCUCGAUCGUCAUGGCUUGCAUCAUGUGCACCUCGCGAGGUACUCCUUGCCUUGAUCUCUCCGCCUCCUCACGAGCCUACUUGGUUAGGCCGCUCCUGAGAAGGCCUUGUGUCGUUCGCCCCGCGAGGCUUGACCCCUCGCAAGGGUCUUGAACUUGUGAUGAUGAAGACGGGCCGUACUGGGCCACUGAUGAGCCACGCCAUAGGCCGCAGGCAGGCAAGUCUGGAUACCCCCAUAUCCAGGACACCGAUAGUAGCCCCCAAGCCCAAGGUGCGCUCGGACUUGGCUUAGCAGCGAAGCCAAAGGGCAAGUGCGGAGCGCCACGGGCCCCAACAACAUGUGGCCUUGGUCGACGCGUGGCGACUGAUUGGAUGUGGGCGUCUCCGCUUCCCCACGCUGCCUCGGCAACUGCCCGAUUUGACAAGAGCCUGCUGCAUGCAAACAGAGUCAUCAUUACCUGCGAUCAUGGAGGCCGGCGGUUGGCCUCCUCCGGGCUAUAAGUACGGGGAGGUGUAGAGGCCCCCAUCGUCCAUCUCUUCUCGCCCCGCUGGCUUCUUCUUCCUCCUUGCUCUGGUUUUUGUGGCGUCCUAUGGAGCCCGUGAAGAGGUUCUCGACCGCGGAAAAGGGGAAGGCUCACCGGGACGGGCAUGUCCCUUCCCUGACCAAGCGCGGCCGUGGUUGCCCUCGCAAGCAUCCCGCGACUCCCAUCGCGGUUCCUCGUGGUCGCGGUGGUGGCCCAUCGCGUGGUGGAGGUCGCCAGCGUCGAGGCAGCCCGGGAGGUGGACGAAGGCAUGUCAUGGCCGCACGGCCUCCCUGGCCGCGCUUCCAUUCGGUGGAGGUGCUGCCGGAGUUUGUUGUUUGAUCGGACGAGCCGAUCGGCAACUAGCUCCAGCUCCCUCGCUUCUUUGCCGGCGAACUGCCGGCUGCUGGCCUUGGCGGGCUUUGGCUGCAGGCGGACGACUGUUGCAGCAGGGCCUCCUGGGUUGCAGUGGAGAUCUCUGUUGCCGGGAACGUGGCCCUGGCCCGGGGCUGGCAGAAGUUUGCCCGCACGCGGGGCCUGGGUAGGCGGUGCACCCUCCACUUCAAGUUUGAUGGCGAGGCGACCCUCUACAUGAGGGUGUUCAGAGAGGACGGCCACAGGGUUGGGUGCUGCCCCGAAGACGAUGACGGCGACGAGGUGCUCGGCCUUGGUGAUGGCCGGGACGAGGGCGAGGGUGAAGCCGCUCCUGGCGGUGUCCACAGCUCGCCGAGUUUCAGCGGCUCCUCCUCUGGUGACGACUCCUCCAGCGGUGGCCGCGACCAGCCUCCGCGUCGCUGUGCCCGCUUCGAGGGCAGCGGGACGUCCCAUCGCCGCGCCCCGGUGAAGCGCGAGGUGGAGUCCGAUUGAGCUCGGGAGGCUGAUGCGGAUCCCUCCUCGCGAGUUGUCGCAAGGCGCGUGCCAUCUUUAUUUUGUUCCCCCCUUUUUUUUCCUGCAUUGAGAGAAAGAGAGAAGUACGGAGCCCCGUGGGGGCGUGCAACAGACCAUGUUCCCCAAGUAUCGUGCUAUGUUUACCAUCUUUGUGCUGUGCUAUGGUGUUGCGGUUAUGUGCCUGCGUGUAAGAACAACUUAGCUCGGGAUGCUUGUAGUAGUUUUCGCCUCGCGUGGUCCCCGCUCGAGCCCUCGCCAGGCACCUUAAGAUCUGCAAGAUCAGUUGGGAGAAUAGUUUCCGAACCAUGGUAGCAAGGUUUGCUAGCUCAGGUCCGAUGUUUUUGUGUCGCGAUGCUCGUGGGGAAUGGACCGGGAGGGGUGCUCCCGCUGUGAAUCUGAACGAGAGCCUCACGAAAGCUAAGCGAGAGAAGGGGCUCACCAGGGCGCCGCGCAUGCCCCUCGCGAAGUUGCGAGCAGAGGAGAGAGCGAGCCAGACAAAAACUAAAACAGGGGGCAAGAGCAGAAGGCGGCGAAUAGAACUAAAAACGACUUCAAAUGAGGGUUCAAACCAGGGAGAACAAGCCAACUGCGGAAAGCAAAUGAAAAGCCAUGUACGGCACCUAGCCUAGUCUUCGACGUCUUCUCACCAGCGCGGAGCUAAGUGCUGCCACUAGGCGUGGGCGGGAGCCCCCGAGGCCCAAGGGCGGCACUCCGGAUACUCCGGGGCGUGUACAUCCCCAACUCAUUAUUACGUGAGAGUGUCACGGGCGGUGAGCUUCACAGGCACCGGGCCUUCUUCAUAGGCACCGAGCCUUUUUAGCUUCACAGGCACCGGGCCUUCUUCACAUGCACUGGGCCUUUUUAGCUUCACAAGCACCGGGCCUUCUUCACAGGCACUGGGCCUUUUUAGCUUCAUAGGCACCGGGCCUUCUUCACAUGCACUGGGCCUUUUUAGCUUCACAGGCACUGGGACUUCUUCACAGGCACUGGGCCUUUUUAGCUUCACAAGCACCGGGCCUUCUUCACAGGCACUGGGCCUUUUUAGCUUCACAGACACCGGGCCUUCUUCACAGGCACUAGGCCUUUUUAGGGGUAAAACUUCCGGAGGUGCUGAAUGUUCCACGCGUUCGGGAUGGGGACCCCCUCCCGAGUCUCCACGCACGCGGAGCCAGACCUGAAAACAUGGACGACCUUGAACGGGCCCUCCCACAUGGGCGAGAGCUUGUGCAGCCCUUCCCUGGAGAGCACCCGCCUGAGCACGAGGUCACCUACCUCGAUAGUCCUGGGGCGGAUGUUGCGGCAAUGAUACCGCCGCAAUGCCUAUUGGUACCUUGCUGCUCGUAGCAUGGCUUCCCGACGGUGCUCCUCCCCCAGCACCAGGUCCAUCCCCCGCAUGGCGUCCUGCUGCGCUUCGUCAAACGCCAGGACCCGCGCGGAGCGAUGCCUGACCUCAUGAGGGAGGACCGCCUCUGCCCCGUAGACGAGGAAGAAGAUGGUCUCGCUAGUCGACUUGGUGGCCGUGGUGCGGAUGGACCACAACACAGACUGGAGCUCGUCGUACCAGCCCCUACCACAUGCCUCCAGUUUCUUCUUGAAGGUCCUGGUUUUGAGGCCUUUCAGGACCUCUGCGUUGGCGCGCUCGGCUUGGCCGUUACUCCGGGGGUGUGCCACCGAAGCAUAGCAUAUCUACGUUCCAAGGAUAGCACAAUAUGUUUUGAAGAGGUUGCUGGUGAACUGCGAACCAUUGUCGGUGAUGAUGCGGUUAGGAAACCCGAACCGGCUCAUGAGGCCCUUGAUGAACUUGACUAUUGAGCCAGCCAGGAUGGUGCGGACGGCUUCCACCUCCGCCCACUUGGUGAACUUAUCGAUGGCGACGUAAAGGUAGUGGUAGCCCCCAGGCGCUCGAGGGAACGGGCCCAAGAUAUCCAGCGCCCAAACCACAAACGGCCACGAGAGCGGGAUGGUUUGUAGGCUGUGAGCCGGCUGGUGUAUCUGCUUGGCAUGGAAUUGACAGGCUUCGCAAGCUUUCACCAACUCGAUGGCGUCAUUGAGUGCGGUAGGCUAGUAGAACCCGCUGUGAAAUGCCUUGCCAACGAGGGCCCGUGACGAUGAGUGAUGUCCACAAUCUCCACCAUGUAUGUCAGCCAGCAACUCCUUCCCCUACCCCCUCGAGAUGCAACGCAAGGAAACAUCAUUUGGCCGCUUCCGGUAGAGCUCUCCGUCUUGUAUGCAGUAGGCCGUGGCCUGCCAGGCCACGCGCUCCGCGUCCUCCUCUUUCUCUGGCAGCGUUCCAUGCAUCAGGUAGCCCUUGAAUUCCGUAGUCCAGCAUUCCUCCUGAGGCUCCAGCGCUAGGAGCAAGCGAGCUCCUGAGGUCGGUCCACAGGCCGGGGCUCCUGUGGCAGGUGGUUGAGGGAGUUCCUCCCGAGGCUGUGCUGUGCUUGAUAGUGAAGGCGCCACUGACGGAUUGAAGAGUCGUUCCUCGAAGACGCCAGGCUCCUAGGCAGCCACCUGGAUGCCCUUUUGGUGAUGUCAUCAGCCUCUUGAUUGGUGCCGCGGGGCACGUGUUGCAGCUCCAGCCCCCAGAACUACUUUUCCAUCCUGCGUACCUCUGCAAGGUAUGCAUCCAUAUGCUCAUCCUUCGGCUCGUACGCCUUAUUGGAGAAGUUGACGAGGAGCUGUGAAUCACCCUUGAUGACCAGGAGCUUCACUCCCUAGCUACUGCAGCCCUCAAGCCCGCCAAGAGGCCUUCGUAUUCUGCUAUGUUGUUGGAGACCUUCUCGCCAUGCUGGAAACAGAGCUGCAUGACGUAAUAGAGCUUGUCCUGAGUGGGGGAUAUGAGCAAUGCGCCAGCUCCUGCGCCGUGCCGCGAGAAUGCUCCGUCGAAGUACAUGACCCAACCAUCCUAUGCCUCACUCCGUGGGGAGAGUGAUCGGUCUUCGCCUGCUUCGAGCCUUGGCGCCUCUAUCCAUUCUGCCACAAAAUCUGCUAGAGCGUCUCCCUUGACCACCCGGGUUGUGCUGAAUUCUAGCUGAAAUUCUUGCAACUCAAUGUUCCAUUCAGCGACCCUUCUAGUGGAGUUGGGGCUCCUGAGUACCCUUUCCAAUGGGUAAGCAGAGACGACCUUAAUGGGGUGGCCUUGAAAGUAGUGCCACAGCUUCCACGAGGCCACCAGUAGCGCGAGCAAGAGUUUCUGAGGCAUGGAGUAUCGUGCCCUUGCAUCCCGCAGUACCGUGCUGACGAAGUACACCGGAUGCUCGACGAGAGUGGGUGCACUGAUGGGGUCCGUGCCCUCAGGAGGCUCAGGUGCCUCCUGAGGCGUAGGAGCCCCCUGCGCCUGGCCGCCCGGUAAGGCCUCUUCGGCCCGGGGGCAUCCUCCUGCUAGGGAUGGGUUCCAUCUGCCGUGGCCGUGACCUUCGCGAGGCCUCCUUGGUCUUGUGCUGCCGCGGCUGUGGCUGCAGCCGCUCGGGAUGCAACCUUGCCCUGGCGUUCUUCCCGGACCGCCACUAGAGCGGCACUGGCAGAGUAUGGUGUGGCGGCGAGGUAUAGCACCAGGGGCUCAAGUGGGCGCGGUGCCACCAUCAUCAGAGGGCUGGUCAAGUACUUCUUGAGGUCUUAAAACGCUUGGUUGGCCUCCUGUGUCCAUUCGAACGGGCCCUUCUUCUUCAUUAGCUUGAAGAAAGGCAAGGCGCGCUCCCCCAGCUUGGAGAUAAAGCAUCCCAACGCCGUCACGUGCCUGGCAAGCUUCUGCAUUUCUCUGAGGGUUUGCGGUGGACUCAUGUCUUUGAUUGCCUUGACCUUCUCUGGGUUGGCCUCGAUCCCCCUGUGGGACACGAGAAAGCCCAGUAGCUUGCCUGAAGGAACACCGAAGACGCACUUCUCCGGGUUGAACCGCAGGUCCACCUUGCGGAGGCUCACAAAGGUUUCUUCUAGGUCUUGGAUCAAGGUCUUCACCUCCCGAGACUUCAUCACAAUGUCGUCGACGUAAGCCUCGGCGUUCUUCCCGAGCUGCCGACCCAAAGCAAUGUGCAUCAGCCGUUGGAAAGUUGCGCCUGCGUUGCGCAACCCGAACGGCAUGCAUGUGUAGCAGUAUACCCCACAUGGGGUUAGGAAAGCCAUCUUUUCUACAUCUUCCACUGCCAUCUUGAUUUGGUGAUAGCCUGAAAAUGCAUCUAAGAAGCACAGCAAGUCGCACUCAGUGGUGGAGUCGACGAUUUGGUUGAUGCGGGGGAGCGGAAACGGAUCUUGUGGGCAGGCCUUGUUGAGGUUGGUGAAGUCGACGCACAUGUGCUCCUUUCCUCCUUUCUUUGGUACGACAACUGGGUUUGCCAGCCAUUCGGGGUAGCGAACUUCGUGAAUGACUCCCGAUGCCUCUAGCUUGCGAGUUUCUUGGAUGAUGAAGGUUUGCUUCUCGGUGGACUGCCGCCUGGCUUUCUGCUUCAUGGGGCGCACAUUGGGGCACACGUUCAGGCGAUGCUCAAUCACCUGCCUUGGGACCCCUGCUAGCUGCUUGGGUUCCCAUGCGAACACGUCCUUGUUUGCGCGUAAGAACUUCACCAGCACUCCCUCUGGUCAGGGCCAAUGUUGGCACCUAUGGUGAAGGUGGCUCCGGAGGAUCCGUCCUCCUCAACUGAUACCUGCUUGGUUUCCGCCUUGUCCUGGGUGAACAACUGCUUUUUCUUGGUCGGCGCAGCUUUCUUAGCCUUGGAGGCGUCCGCGCCGACGGGCCGCGCCUGCCGCAGCUGCCUUGAGGGCGAGCUUAAAUGCUAGUAAAGCAUCCUUGGUGUCUCCAGCUAUGGUAAGUACACCACUGGUCCCGGGCAUUUUCAUGAGGUUGUAGGCCGGGUGAGUUGCCGCCAUGAACCGAGCCAAGGCGGGGUACCCGAGGAUAGCAUUGUACGGGAGGACGAUAUGCGCAACGUCGAAGUCGAUCAGCUCUGUGUGGAAAUUGUCGUGGGUGCCGAAGGUCACAGGAAGGCGGAUCUGCCCCAAGGAGCUGGCGGAAUAGCCUCCAACGCUUGAGAAUGUCCUGCUGGGUCGGAGCCGUUCCAGCGGUAUGUGGAGGAGGCUAAAGGCCUCCACCGAGAGCACGUUGAGGCCGGCUCCACCGUCGAUGAGGGUCCUGGUGACGGCCACCUGGCAGAUGGUGGGCGUACAGAGCAUCGGGAGCGCCCCUGAGCAGGCGGUGUUGGCAGGGUGAUCGUCUGAAUUGAAGGUCAGGUCGGCCUUGGGCGCCACCCAAUCUGGAGGAGCUCCUUGCCGCGUGAGGGCGGCGCCGAUCUGGCGGAAGAACGGCUUGACAUGGCGGUCUGAUGGCAGCACCUGCGAGCCACCCAGGAGAGCUGCAAUGACCGGCGGUGCCGGCGCCACAUAGUGGGUGAGGAAGAGGUCGCACAGCUCCUCCCAGGAAGCCACAGAAGACGUGGGCAGGUUGAGCAGCCAAGCGCGCGGGACCCCGGUGAGGGCCAGGGGAAACCAGUUGGCCAUGACCUUGUCGUUGCUGCCGGCCUUGAGGACUUCCUCCUCGUACGCCAGCAGGAAGACCAACGGGUCCGCCGCGCCAUUGUAGCGCGGCGGCAUCUCUGGCCUGAACUUGUGUGGCCACUGCACCUGCCGCAAGGCGGGGGCCAAGGCUCGGAGCCCCCUGUCCCCAGCGCUGGCGUCGGCCGUCGGAGCUAGUAGCGCAUUGCCUGCCAUGAGAGCGAAGCACGGUGUUGGUGGAGAGCGAGCCGACGGAAGCGAGAGCUCCGGCGCACCCCUACCUGGCGUGCCAAAUGUCGGAUAUCGGGUUCCGACAAAACCCUUAAGGUUCGAACUCUGGGGUGCUUGCGAAGGUCUUCUCCCUACCGAUCCACGCCCACUAUGCCGCGGUUCUAAGCUAAUAAGAUGAACAACCCAAGGGACAUGAGAUUUAUACUGGUUCAGGCCACCAUUGUGGUGUAAUACCCUACUCCAGUGUGUGGUGUGUGGAUUGCCUCUUGGGUUGAUGAGGAACAGUACAAGGGGAAGAACAGCCUUGCGAGGAGAGGUGUUCUUGUGCUGGUGCCGUUGGUUCUGGUACGAAUGGAUCCCCUUCUAUGGUGGUGGCUAGUCCUAUUUAUAGAGGCCUUGGUCCUCUUCCCAAAUAUUGAGCAGGAAGGGAUUCCACAAUGGCGGGAUUUGAAGGGGGGCAGCUAGUACAAGCUAUCCUGACUAAAGGUGGUCUUCGACUGCCAAAAGCACUGGCGAUGAUGCCGUCUUGGGCUCCAUGGUGACCUCCGUCUUGCCGUCCCGCUGGUCUUGGUCUUGUUGCACCGAUAUGGAAACCUUUGCUUGAUGCCUCAGUACUCCGCGCCUGCGCUUGCCCCCUUUGCACCAAAGAGGAAACAAGGACACUACGCCGGCCGGCGCCCGCCUGGUCUCGAUUGUCAUGGCUUGCGUCAUGUACACCUCGCAAGGUAUUCCUUGCUUUGAUCUCUCCGCCUCCUCGUGAGCCUGCCUAGUUAGGCUGCUCCUGAGAAGGCCUUGUGUCGUUUGCCCCGUGAGGCUUGGCCCCUCGCGAGGGUCUUGAACUUGUGAUGAUGAAGACGGGUCAUACUGGGCCACUGAUGAGCCAUGCCACAGGUCGCAGGCAGGCAAGUCUGGAUACCCCCAUAUCCAGGACGCCGACACAGGCUGCCUGCUACGGGCGUGUGAGCUCUUGGCUCCCGCCUGCCACGGCCGAGCGCCCGAGCAAGCGUGUGUGUGCUCGAUCUGGAUUGAUCUAGAUCGGGUCCUCUGCUUCCAUUGACUUCAAAAAAAAAA